rnacentral:rRNA from 1 species
UACGUAGGGUGCAAGCGUUGUUCGGAUUUACUGGGCGUAAAGGGCGCGUAGGCGGCCCUGUUUGUCAGGCGUGAAAGCCCUGGGCUCAACCUGGGAAUUGCGCUUGGGACGGCGGGGCUUGAGAUCGGGAGAGGAGAGUGGAAUUCCCAGUGUAGAGGUGAAAUACGUAGAGAUUGGGAAGAACACCAGUGGCGAAGGCGGCUAUCUGGACGGUUUCUGACACUAAGACUCGAAAGCGUGGGGAGCAAACAGG